CACGUAGGGGCCAAGCGUUGUCCGGAUUUAUUGGGCGUAAAGCGCGUGUAGGCGGGUCGGUAAGUCCGCUCUGAAAGCCCGGGGCUCAACCCUGGGAGGCGGGUGGAUACUGUCGACCUCGAGUCCGGAAGAGGCGAGUGGAAUUCCUGGUGUAGCGGUGAAAUGCGCAGAUAUCAGGAGGAACACCAAUAGCGAAGGCAGCUCGCUGGGACGGUACUGACGCUAAGGCGCGAAAAGCGUGGGGAGCGAACAGG
rnacentral:rRNA from 1 species